GUGGGGAAUAUUGCACAAUGGGGGAAACCCUGAUGCAGCGACGCCGCGUGAGCGAAGAAGUAUUUCGGUAUGUAAAGCUCUAUCAGCAGGGAAGAAAAUGACGGUACCUGACUAAGAAGCACCGGCUAAAUACGUGCCAGCAGCCGCGGUAAUACGUAUGGUGCAAGCGUUAUCCGGAUUUACUGGGUGUAAAGGGAGCGUAGACGGAUGGGCAAGUCUGAUGUGAAAACCCGGGGCUCAACCCCGGGACUGCAUUGGAAACUGUUCAUCUAGAGUGCUGGAGAGGUAAGUGGAAUUCCUAGUGUAGCGGUGAAAUGCGUAGAUAUUAGGAGGAACACCAGUGGCGAAGGCGGCUUACUGGACAGUAACUGACGUUGAGGCUCGAAAGCGUGGGGAGCAAACAGGAUUAGAAACCCCUGUAGUCC
rnacentral:rRNA from 1 species